rnacentral:rRNA from 1 species
GACAGAGUUUGAUCAUGGCUCAGGACGAACGCUGGCGGCGUGCUUAACACAUGCAAGUCGAACGGUGACCCUCGGAGCUUGCUCCGAGGUGAUCAGUGGCGAACGGGUGAGUAACACGUGAGUAACCUGCCCCAGACUCUGGAAUAACCCCGGGAAACCGGAGCUAAUACCGGAUACGAGACGGAGCCGCAUGGCUACCGUCUGGAAAGUUUUUCGGUCUGGGAUGGACUCGCGGCCUAUCAGCUUGUUGGUGAGGUAGUGGCUCACCAAGGCGACGACGGGUAGCCGGCCUGAGAGGGCGACCGGCCACACUGGGACUGAGACACGGCCCAGACUCCUACGGGAGGCAGCAGUGGGGAAUAUUGCGCAAUGGGCGAAAGCCUGACGCAGCGACGCCGCGUGAGGGAUGAAGGCCUUCGGGUUGUAAACCUCUUUCAGCAGGGAAGAAGCGAAAGUGACGGUACCUGCAGAAGAAGCACCGGCUAACUACGUGCCAGCAGCCGCGGUAAUA